CAGACAUAUUUUCUAGUUUAUUCAAAAAAUCAAUUCAAUUAGGGCUGCGUUUUGAAAUUUGAAUUACUUAUGGGUUUCUUUUGUGGAAGUUGCUUUCUCUUGAAUAUUAUCUUGAAUUGAUUGAAAUUCUCUCUGUUUUUUCUAGAAAUUGGAUCAUCGGCAGAGCACUAGGAUACUUCAAGAGAGAAGCAAAAUGUUGGCUGCUAAGCCAAUAUUCGGCAUAGGACAGAAUCCGGUGGGAAAAGAAAACUCGACGUGCUCCCGUGGUGUGGAACCGCAAUUCUUGGUUCUUCUGCUGGUUUUAUGUUCUUGUGGAGGUGAUUUAUUAACUUCUGACAUUGUUUUUCGAUAUUUUAAACAGUUGGUGUCUCAUGUUUUAAGAUUUAUAAGAUUUAUACCGAAAGUGACACUGCCAAAGCUGAUGCCGAGAUCAGGUAAUUGUAGUUUUAAAUUUGUGCAAUUGCUUUUCGAUUAUUGAAUGUUGUGGUUUUAAUCAAUGUCUAAGUUGUUGUAGAACUGAGAUCAACUAACCCUUCGUUCCAGGAUUUAAAUCUUCCGAUUUGUAUUUGUAUGUGAACGGUGCUAACAAUUCAAAUAGAAUGGGAGUAGAGGCCAAAAUGUAUUAGAUAUUAUCCAUAUCUCAAACAAAAUUUCAUCACAACAAAAGAGAAUACAACACGCACACAAUUACUCAUAUGAGCUAACAAAAGGGUUAGAAGUCAAGCAACCAAGUACCAACCUGUAAUUGAAAAUUAAUAUAAAGAAAUGAGUUAACCAAACAUCCGAAAUGAUCCAAAUGUAGAUUCCCAAAAAACACAAGAAAGAAAAAUAUUGAAGUAUAUUACAAAACUCUACUAAUCUACACUAGUGAAGGGAGAAGGGUUUGAAUUUGAGACGUAGUUGGUUGACUAAGAAUGUCAGGGCAAUCCAUCACUCAUUAUUGACCCUUUGUUUACUUUUUCUUUCUCUUACAUGAAAAAAGUUGAAAUUGCACUCCAAAACUAAUUGAAAAUAGACCAAACUUUUCUCAUAAUACAAGAUUUAACUUUCCAACAGCACCACACAACAAUUUUCCCUUUCUAAAUCACGACCUCAAAAAAACUUACCUCACAUGCAUUCUAUCAUGUCCUUUUUUAGAAAGAAAAAAUUACUAUUAUUAAAGAGUGAGGGGAGAGUUCCAAACUAUUACAUUAAUUGAGGAAAAGGGAGAGUUUCGAACCAAGACACAUAAGUAGAAACUCAACAUCCAAUCCAAUAGGAAUUAGUAAUUUACAUUUGAGUUUAGGUAUCGAAUAGCGCGUUGAAUUAAGUUAGGACAAGUCAGACUCAACCUACUAAAAUUGAACCAUAUGCAACUAGUAUUGUAGGAUAAACGAGAAAAUAUGCCCGCGCGUUGCUGCGGGACUUGAAUGUAUUAGGCGCAAUAGGCAUGAAUAGUUUCUACACAAAUCAACUAAAAAGACAUAGCACCUAAGAAUCAAUGAACAAUUGGGACAUCUUACUCAUAUGUGAGUCUCAAUCCCUAUUGAACAAAAGUACUAUUUCUUCUUCAAAUUGAAUCGACAUCAUUGAUCAAGCAAUUAAACAUUCCUACUGGCAAAUAAUUGACCCAAGAGUUGAGCAGAUAUAUAGUGAUUGGAAAAAUACAAAGUGAGCACCAAUGAUACCACACCAGUACAAAGAGCAUCACUCAUCAACUAAUCUAGCUUGAAAUGAUUGGGAAAGAACCUUGACUAAGAUCUUCAAUCACUGAGACAGCCCAAAUGAAUAGAGAAAAACACAAUUAAUAAACUCGGGGACAAAGAACCUGAGAAGCAGAAACAAACUUCUAUGCACAAAAAAUUUGUGCAAGUAAACAAACAUCCAGUUGUACUGAGACUUGAAUGAUCCAUGUUUAAUAAUAUAACUUAAACCCAACCAUGAAUUUACAAAAAAAUUAGGUAGAAUUAUUAACAUAACUCAGAAAAGAAAAGACUCAACUUUGCAAUUAAAUUUCUUACAUAACUUAAACCUGACAAAUUUAACUAAUUAGAUUCAUCCACAAAAUAGAUUUUAACAUAACCUCAAAGAGUUUCUUCUAACCAAGUAAACCAUUACUCAACAAAAAACAUGUAGACAAAGCUCUUAUCAAAAUCAUAAUAUUGUAAUGAACAGGAACUUCAAAAUAAUCUCAGCUACACACUUUUCCAAAACGAAGGAAAAAUCUACUUUGUAACUUAACUUAAUAUACGAAACCACCAAUUUAGUCACCUAAAAUUCAUAACCAACAGAGAAAACAACUCCAAAUCCUCAGGUUUACACAUGUAUGAGCCAAAGGUCAAGUUUGUACAAAACACUCAUCCCACAAUAUGAAAAAGCAGAUCGAAAAACUUCAUUUUUGAAUAGAAAUAAGCCAAAGGUUCAAUUUUUACAGACACGGAUCAUUUUAUACACAAUAAGCAUACAUAAAAACAUAAAACUUGACAAAUUUUCAUUAACUUCUCAACCAAUACAAAGAACUUAGUGGGUCCUGAUGAAUGAAAAAUAAUUCAGAAUUGUUUUUACAUUUUUAUUAUUUUCUAAGUUUUUCACGGAGCCAAAUUAAACCAACAUGCUUAAAAGAAAAAAUUGAUACCUGUAAGGUUGGAGACUGCUUUCAAGGCCUUUUUAUUUUCUUUGUCGUUAUGUAAAUCCAAUUUCACUACCACCUUCUGCAGAAAGAAAACAAUUUUCAAUUAACAAAUUGUUUUGGGAGAGAAAUGGAAAUUCAUUAAUACAAAUACCAAUACCGAUUUCUGGGAUUUUAGGGUUUUCUGUUACCCUUGCAACUGAAAGCCUAAAAAUCCUAGAAAAAUGCCAAGAAGCUUAAGCA